rnacentral:rRNA from 1 species
UCGCAUCUGUGCAUGCAGCAUAUCAAUAAGCGGAGGAAAAGAAACUAACAAGGAUUCCCCUAGUAACGGCGAGUGAAGCGGGAAGAGCUCAAAUUUGAAAUCUUAAAGGGUUUCCCUUUACGAAUUGUAGUUUAAAGAAGUGUUUUCUGUUGAGGUUUUGGUAAAAGUUCUUUGGAAUAGGACAUCAUAGAGGGUGAGAAUCCCGUAUUUGACCUUUACUUUCAACUUUGUGAUACACUUUCAAAGAGUCGGAUUGUUUGGGAAUGCAGUCCAAAAUGGGUGGUAAAUUUCAUCUAAAGCUAAAUAUUGGCGAGAGACCGAUAGCGAACAAGUACCGUGAGGGAAAGAUGAAAAGAACUUUGAAAAGAGAGUUAAACAGUACGUGAAAUUGUCAAAAGGGAAGCGUUUGACACCAGUGUUGUUUUUCUGAAAAUCAAUUAAAGAACUGUUUAUGCUAAGUUGUUUAGACUUUAUCAGCUAUCUGCUUAGUUUUGAGCUUUUCUUUAAUGCACUUUUCAGUUAACAAGUCAACAUCAAUUUCUUUUGCUGUAAAAAAGCUUGAGGAAGGUGGCUUGAGAUUCGUCUUAAGUGUUUAUAGCCUCUUGCCUAUGCAGUCGGAGAGAUUGAGGUCUGCAGCGUAGAUCCUUCGGGGCUAAAUGCAUUUGUGCUAAGUUAUAGCAUUUUAUAGACAACUUGUUGACUAUGAUUUGUCUUGUAGCUUACUCGCUUAUGUUAUUUUACCUACGCUUAGGAUGUUGAAGAUGUAGCACAUCAU